rnacentral:lncRNA from 1 species
CCCUUCCCGGCUCUGCGCCUGGUCCAGGCCUUCCCUGGCCAGCGUGACCUACUUUCCUGGCUGAGUGACACUGAGGGGAAAAUGGUCGGUGACGGGCAGCCCUGCUCUGCGUGCAGCCAGCGGGGAGGGUGACCAGUGCCCUCGCAGCCAGGUCGCUUGGGCAGCCGGAGACGUCAUCUGAGUGACUCAGUGUUUGUCCUCUGCACACUGCACUGACCAGCCUGACGGGAACACCGGCCACGUGAUGUGGGCCCCUGGGCGGCUGUGCUGUGGGGAUGCCAGGACCUGCUGCUGCGAUGCAGCUGACGUGCAGGGUGGACGCUCUUCUGUCCCAGAUCCCGUUUCCUGAGGCUUUGUGCUUUGGCAGAGGCCAGGAGGCACCUUGGCUGGGGGAGACCCCAGGACCAGGGUGACAUCUGAGACCCCGCCAGUGCCCCCGGGCAGGUCUGCGGAGCAAUGCUGGCCUGGCCUUGGCUGUGCUCUGCCAGAGGGGCCAGCGCUGUUCUACACUCGGAGAGCCAUGGGAGCUGGGUCUCGAGAGCGCCCUGAGUCUGUGCGCCCUACACUAGCCUGGCCCACCCCAUGGGCCCUGGUGGGCCAGGGAAAUGACACACCCAUCCUCAUGCUAAGCGAGGGGUCCUCGACCCUUCCCUGCACUCCAGGGAAGCAAUUGCGGCUCCUAGGAGGAACCACAUGUCUUGGAAAACACCACAGCAAAGGUGUGCGUGCUUCUGCAGUCCAAAAUAUCACAGAAUGACUGGAAAUAAUCCUGGUCUGAAAAAAAUCUCACUCUCGCCCCACUAGCCAAGAACUGUGAAGAAAGAAGACAGCAGAGGAAAGUCUAGGCCUCUCCUGUCCAGAUACUCAGCGUGGGGACACCAGGCCCACGGACGUCACCUCUUGGCUCAGCCCGGGGUGACCAACCAGAGCCCAGGGUCCCCGGUGAUUUGGAGCAGGAGGACAACUCCAAGCCGGGAGCCACGGGAGCACAGCCACGCCCAGAGGCCCCUCCGUGCCUGCGGGAAACAACCAGCAGCAAACACCGGGCUCACAGGCGCCAGUGGGACUCAGUGAGGCGCAGCGUUUCCUCUGACGGCACGCCGCGGCCAGGAACAACGGAUUUCGUUCUUAGUCUGGUGGAGUUCGCGGGUAAAAGCAAUGCCUACACUGUAGCCAGCAGAGAAUGUUCUGGUUUGUCCCGAAGACACACACACUCUCUCUCUCUCUCUCCAGCUCUGGCUCGCUCGGCCUGUGCUCACCCUGAUGCUCAGGCUGUGUGGCCUGGCCUGGCCUGGCCUGGCCGGCGUCUCCCAGGCUAAGGCCCAGACAGGCAGGGAGGCAGAGGCUUCCCUGGAGGGAUGACAGGGACUUCAGGCCGCCGGGCCCCGUCACAGCCAGGCCGCCCCACGAUGGGGACAUCACCCUCCUGGGGCGCCGCUUUCCCACGCCGAGGCUCUGGAUGCCAGAGCCCAGUCCUCAGCCAUCCCGGGGAUCAGUGGUGACUAGGGCUAGGGGCCACUGUGCUCACCAGGCUGCAGGCCAGGUCCCUGCCAGACGUCCCGAGCAGGCUCUGGGUCCCGCCCGAGCCACCUGGCCGCUGCGGC